UCAAUAAUUAAACUCAAAAAAUUAAACAAUCUUUUAAAUAUUAAUAAUCUCUUUUUAAAUUAAAAAAAAUCAUCUUAGCCACAUAUCUCUCUAACAAACCUAUCUUGGAGAAUAUCAUGUUUCCUCUUACUAAAAAGGUUCUCCUUAAAAAAAAUAUUAAUAAUUUUAUUUUCCCCUGCGUCACCGCCUUGGCCUUCCUCUCCCUCACCAUUCUCGUCCUCUACAGAUUGACGACUUCGCCACCCAGACGAAAAUGGUUGUCGGCCACAAUCUAGAAUGUAUAGGCAAUUGGUUUUAAAAGGAUCUAAGAGGGCUGUUUGGCUGUGUUAAUUUGAUCUGAAGAGGGUUAGAUCUUUGUUUGGUUGCAAGGAAGAUGACUUCGCUAAGCAGAGAGCUUGUAUUUCUUAUACUUCAAUUUCUUGACGAAGAAAAAUUCAAGGAGACCGUACAUAAGUUGGAGCAAGAGUCAGGGUUUUUCUUCAACAUGAGGUAUUUUGAAGACAUGGUAACAGGUGGCGAGUGGGAAGAGGUAGAAAAGUAUCAAUCUGGUUUUACAAAGGUUGACAAUAAUAGAUACUCUAUGAAGAUCUUUUUCGAGAUUAGGAAGCAGAAGCAUAUGGAAGCUUUAGACAAGUAUGUGUUUUAAGGUUUUAUUGAAUCAGGAAUGUUGGAUUUUAUUCAUUUUCUUGAUUGUAUUGUUGGUUACACAUAGUAGCUCUUUUUGCUGAUUGGUCCUUUUGGGGUUGGUAAGAAUUAAAUUCUCUUCUUUCAUUUAACUACAUGAUUAUCAUUUAAUUAUUUUCUUAACGUAGUUUUCAUUUCAUUAUCCAAAGUAAAGCUUAUGUUAAGUGAUUUAGUGAACUGAAAUAUGUUUUGUCAUGCAAUAGAAAUAGUUAUGCUACAAUAGAAAUAUGUUGGCUGUGUUUUCAGUAAUUGUGUUUUUAAAAGUAAGAAUAUAAAACAGUUUUUUGUCAUUUUAAAAAUUUAAUGGUAUUUAAAACAAGUUUUUUAAAACUAUUUUUAGAUUUAUAUAUCAGGUAUAUAUCUCCUCUAUUUAUUAGAAUUAUAUUUAUUCAAAUGUUUUGUUUAUAAUAGUAUUAUAUAUCCUCAAUAUAUAACAAAGAAAAAGAAAUUAAGGAAUUAUAUUUGUCAAUUAAUUUGAUAAUCAACUUUCAGGUAGAACUGAGACAAAAGAUUUUCCAAUUACAUUGGCACAAAAGGAUUGAGCUAAUUUGUUUCCAAAAGUUUGAAUUAUUACGACUAAUCACCAACAAUCUGAAAUUAGAGGUAUGUUCUAUUUGAAUUAAUUUAUUCAUUGGGCUUAUAUAUUUGUGUAUUUUUUUUUUUGUGUGUAUUUGUGUAUAUAUGCGAUUUUUUUUUUAUGAAUUACUUUUUUUAAAAAAUAAAUAUGUUUAUAUAAAUUUAAAUUUAAACUCUAUAUAAAAUAAUAUUUUUUUUUUCUAGAAACAUAAAGCUACAGACUAAUUU